CUGCGGAAGGAUCAUUAUCGUACAACUGAGGUGCAAGGGCUGUCGCUGACUUGAAAAGGUUGUGCACGCCCAAGCGCUCUCACACAUCCAUCUCACCCCUAUGUGCACCACCGCGUGGGUCCCCCUUUUGGCUUGCCCAAAAGGGUGGGCUUGCGUUUUCACACAAACUUGAUGUAGUGUAGAAUGUCUUUAUUUUUGCGGUCACACGCAAUCAAUACAACUUUCAACAACGGAUCUCUUGGCUCUCGCAUCGAUGAAGAACGCAGCGAAAUGCGAUACGUAAUGUGAAUWGCAGAAUUCAGUGAAUCAUCGAAUCUUUGAACGCACCUUGCGCCCCUUGGCAUUCCGAGGGGCACACCCGUUUGAGUGUCGUGAAAUUCUCAAAAACCUUUCUUUGGUCUUUCGAUCGGGGAAAGGAUUUUGGACUUGGAGGCCUUUUGCUGGUUUCACCUUGAAGCGAGCUCCUCCUAAAUGAAUUAGUGGGGUCUGCCUUGCCGUUCCUCGACGUGAUAAGAUGUUUCUACGUCUUGGGUUUGGCACUGUCAUUUGGACACCUGCUUCCAACCGUCUCAUCGACAAUGAUGGCGUUCCGGUCACCACCGUUCUAUCGGUGGGAGGCUUGACCCACAGAAAAAAACCUUGACCUCAAAUCGGGUGAGACUACCCGCUGAACUUAAGCAUAUCAAUAAGCGGA
rnacentral:sRNA from 1 species